rnacentral:rRNA from 1 species
GCGUUGUUCGGAUUCACUGGGCGUAGAGGGUGCGUAGGCGGCCGGGUAAGUCUGACGUGAAAUCUCCGAGCCUAACUCGGAAACUGCAUCGGAUACUAUCCGGCUUGAGGGUUGGAGGGGGGACUGGAAUACUUGGUGUAGCAGUGAAAUGCGUAGAUAUCAAGUGGAACACCAGUGGCGAAGGCGAGUGCCUGGACAACUCCUGACACUGAGGCACGAAAGCUAGGGGAGCAAACAGG